rnacentral:rRNA from 1 species
CUACGGGCUGCUGCAGUGGGGAAUAUUGCACAAUGGAGGAAACUCUGAUGCAGCAACGCCGCGUGGAGGAUGACACUUUUCGGAGCGUAAACUCCUUUUAUAUAGGAAGAAGAUGACGGUACUAUAUGAAUAAGCGCCGGCUAACUCCGUGCCAGCAGGCCGCGGUAAUACGGAGGGCGCAAGCGUUACUCGGAAUCACUGGGCGUAAAGAGCGUGUAGGCGGAUUAAAAAGUCAGAAGUGAAAUCCUAUAGCUUAACUAUAGAACUGCUUCUGAAACUCUUAAUCUAGAAUAUGGGAGAGGUAGAUGGAAUUUCUGGUGUAGGGGUAAAAUCCGUAGAGAUCAGAAGGAAUACCGAUUGCGAAGGCGAUCUACUAGAACAUUAUUGACGCUGAGACGCGAAAGCGUGGGGAGCGAACAGGAUUAGAUACCCCAGUAGUC